GAUGAUAGAUCUGUAGGGUUAAAUGCAUCAAAUGGUCACUUGACUAUACAUAUAUAUAUACAUAAUAAUAGUGUUCAUCGUCUUCCCCCUUUCUCUUCUCUCUUUCUCUCGGAUGAGGCUAUGACGAUAACGAUUUUUCAGUGGUUCUCACCGAUCAGAACUUCCGGAGACGGAGAAAGCGUAGUACCAAUAUGUUACCUGGCUGGGCAACAUUUUCACCCGAGCGCGGCU
rnacentral:lncRNA from 1 species